rnacentral:tRNA from 1 species
GGAGAGGUGGCAGAGUGGUUGAAUGCACCCGCCUCGAAAGCGGACGUAGCUGAAAGGCUACCGGGAGUUCGAAUCUCCCCCUCUCCGCCA